CACGUAGGGUGCGAGCGUUGUCCGGAAUUAUUGGGCGUAAAGAGCUCGUAGGCGGUCUGUCGCGUCGGUCGUGAAAACUUGGGGCUUAACCCUGAGCUUGCGGUCGAUACGGGCAUGACUGGAGUUCGGCGGGGGAGACUGGAAUUCCUGGUGUAGCGGUGAAAUGCGCAGAUAUCAGGAGGAACACCGGUGGCGAAGGCGGGUCUCUGGGCCGAUACUGACGCUGAGGAGCGAAAGCGUGGGGAGCAAACAGG
rnacentral:rRNA from 1 species